GAGAACUAGGCUAACCAAAUGAUUUAUCCCUAGAAUUAUGUAGCAUUGCUCCCAACAGCCUUGGUUUCGCCUUCCUGAGAUGGCGCUGGGCAUGGUUCCUGGUUCCUGCAUGUAACCGAGUGUGCUUUCUCUGUCUCCUUCCCUGGCCUGGGAACUGACUCUGCUGCAUUUCUCCUGCUCCAUCUGCUCUUUCAGGGAUCACCUUCAGCACCCUGGCGGGACUGGUCUUUGACUGGACGAUUGAGAAGGACACGCAGGCGGGCGGGUUCUCAGACUCCCACAGUGCCCUGCGCUGCAUGAGCUGGACACAGUUCUUUCCCCUGCACUCUCCAGCCUAGAAACUGAGACUGGGAGAGGUCCAGCCAUUGUCUGGAGUUGGAAUAAAUCUUUGAAGUUAUGCUGGGGUAGAGGAUGGCCAGCUGCCCAGCAGCAUAGACUUGGAAAGGGGGCCUGUUUACCUGCUCUUCAAAUAUCUGCUGGUUUGGAGGAUGCCAAAAAUCUUGUCAUCACCUUCCCAGAAACAAAAGUGCUGAGGGCCAAGGCCAUUGCUAGAGCCUGGAGUGUGUUGGGAACUGGCUGGCCCCAGGGCUGCCUGAAGAUCAUUUGGCUGCAUCUCUCUGCCUCUCUGGAGCCUGCUACUGCCGGAAACAAGAGGACGUCUUGUGUCUCCCCAAGUACUUUUCCUGGUAAGGCUUUGUCCCAGGUGAGGAAAAGCAUCAUCCCACAGCAAAUCCCUUUAGCAUGGACUGCCAUUGCAUCUUCUUUGUGUAUAAUUCCUCUGAAUUCAGUUUUCCAGGCUGGUCUGCCAGCUGGCCAUCCUGCAGUCCAAGUCAAGCUUUCCUGCCUUUUGUGCCAAUAGACAAAGACUUAGUGAGUUAAUGUGAUUCCUUGGCUCUUCCUCUAGAGAAAUUAUGUCUUGGUUACUUUUUCAUUGCGGGGACAAAACACUCAACAGUCACAAUUUAAAGGAGGAGAGGUUUAUUUUGGCUCACACUUUCAUAAGUUUCAGUCCACGCUCCAGCUCAGGGCCAGCAUGGUGGAAGGGCCUGGGUGGAUGAAUGCGGCUUGCAGCAAGGCAGCUAGGAAGCAGAAGGAGGAACUGAGGAAGGAGAUACGCUCUCUCAGGUCAUGCCCCAGUGACCCACAGCUGCUGACAGGGCUCUUCCUGCUAAGAGCACACAGUAAGGACCUCAUCAGUGAAUCAAUCCACUGAUAAGCACAGCGCCCCCAUGAUCCAAGCAUCUUCUGAAUGCCCCACUGUAGGGAACAGGGAAAGGGGACGUUACUAGAACCUCUGCAGUAUGUCCUAGUCUCCUUCGAGCCAUGACAGCACAAGGCGAAUCAGUUUAUUACACAGAAAAGAUAGAAAAAAUGAGACUUAGAGAAGAAGCUGAGCUUUGGGCCUGAUCAGUGCUGCUCUGGGCAGCAAAGAGGAAAGCCCCCAGCUUGUGGCACCUUUAUUCAGUACAUCGGGAGAAACAAAUGUAGCAGAUGACUCAGGGCAGAGAGGUCAGUACAUGCAGAGAAACACAUGUAACAGAUGACUCAGUGGUCAGAGGAAAUCUUAGAAUAAUGAGGAACUACGCAGAUGAAGAUUUUGUUCCUCGCAGGAUGUCUUCAGCUGGUGUAAUCUUGUCCUGGAGCAUCACAGCAUCACCGGACCAUUGAGGUCUUAGCUGUGACCAGAGGCCAAAAUGGAGUUAUGUCUUGAAAUGUCGUAGCUGGCCUGUAGGCAGGAGAACUACACCUGAUCAAAUGAUUUUUCCCCGAAAUUAUGUAGAAUUGCUCCCGGGACCCACCAAUACAUGAGGCUUUUGGAAUGAGAGGGCCUUCCAGUUCCAAACCAUAGCAAAUUGCUUUGGAAAUCCCACAGGUUUCAACAAAAUAUAUGUUUCAUAGUGUAAUCAUGGGCAAAAUAUAUGUUUCAUAGUGUAAGCAUGCUCUGGAAUUUGGAACUUAGGCUAUUUUGGCUUUUGAAAUGUAAAUGAAAAUCAAAGGUAUUUAGGUUGUUGUUAAUGGUUUUAAUAUAUCAGCUCUCCAGGGCUGGGGAUUUAGCUCAGUGGCAACGCACCUGCCUUGCAAGCACAAGGUCCUGAGUUCGAUCCCCAGUACCAAAAAACAAAGCAAAC
ensembl:lncRNA